UCGUCAGCUCGUGUCGUGAGAUGUUGGGUUAAGUCCCGCAACGAGCGCAACCCUUGUCUUUAGUUGCCAUCAUUAAGUUGGGCACUCUAGAGAGACUGCCAGGGAUAACCUGGAGGAAGGUGGGGAUGACGUCAAAUCAUCAUGCCCCUUAUGCUUAGGGCUACACACGUGCUACAAUGGGUAGUACAGAGGGUUGCCAAGCCGUAAGGUGGAGCUAAUCCCUUAAAGCUACUCUCAGUUCGGAUUGUAGGCUGAAACUCGCCUACAUGAAGCUGGAGUUACUAGUAAUCGCAGAUCAGAAUGCUGCGGUGAAUGCGUUCCCGGGUCUUGUACACACCGCCCGUCACACCACGGGAGUUGGAGACGCCCGAAGCCGAUUAUCUAACCUUUUGGAAGAAGUCGUCGAAGGUGGAAUCAAUAACUGGGGUGAAGUCGUAACAAGGUAGCCGUAUCGGAAGGUGCGGCUGGAUC
rnacentral:rRNA from 1 species